UGGCUCAAAGGUUAAGAGCACUGGCUGCUUUUCCAGAGGUCCUGAGUUCAAUUCUCAG
rnacentral:tRNA from 1 species